GUACACUCCUGCGGGAGGCAGCAGUAGGGAAUCUUCGGCAAUGGGGGCAACCCUGACCGAGCAACGCCGCGUGAGUGAAGAAGGUUUUCGGAUCGUAAAGCUCUGUUGUAAGUCAAGAACGAGUGUGAGAGUGGAAAGUUCACACUGUGACGGUAGCUUACCAGAAAGGGACGGCUAACUACGUGCCAGCAGCCGCGGUAAUACGUAGGUCCCGAGCGUUGUCCGGAUUUAUUGGGCGUAAAGCGAGCGCAGGCGGUUUGAUAAGUCUGAAGUUAAAGGCUGUGGCUCAACCAUAGUUCGCUUUGGAAACUGUCAAACUUGAGUGCAGAAGGGGAGAGUGGAAUUCCAUGUGUAGCGGUGAAAUGCGUAGAUAUAUGGAGGAACACCGGUGGCGAAAGCGGCUCUCUGGUCUGUAACUGACGCUGAGGCUCGAAAGCGUGGGGAGCGAACAGGAUUAGAAACCCUUGUAGUCCCA
rnacentral:rRNA from 1 species